GAUGAACGCUGGCGGCGUGCCUAAUACAUGCAAGUCGAGCGAACAGACGAGGAGCUUGCGCCUCUGACGUUAGCGGCGGACGGGUGAGUAACACGUGUAUAACCUACCUAUAAGACGGGUAUAACUACGGGAAACCGGAGCAAAUACCGGAUAAUAUAUUGAACCGCAUGGGUCAAUAGUGAGAGACGGUUGUGCUGUCACGUAUAGAUGGAUCCGCGCCGCAUUAGCUAGUUGGUAAGGUAACGGGUUACUAAGGCAACGAGGCGUAGCCGAGGUGUGUGACUGGUAGCCGGCCUGGGAGCGUAGCCACGGUCCUGACGCCUGCGGGAGGCCGCAGUAGGGAAUGUUCCGCAGUGGGCGGGAGCCUUACGGAGCGGGGGCGCGUGAGUUGUGGAGGUCUUGGGUUCGUGAAGCCCUGUUUCGAGCGAAGAACAGCUUUGUAAUUAGCCAUGCCCGGCUUGACGGUACCUAGUCAGAAAGCCACGGCUAACUACGUG
rnacentral:rRNA from 1 species